UGACAUGGCACGUCGCCAGGCGAGUCUCAGUCUUACAAGACAGACGAGUGGCUUUGUUCCAGCAGCAGAUACCAGCUCUGCUUCCCAAAUCCCCACCGGCUGGACCGAGAGUUCAGCCGUGUAGCGGGAGCGCAGCAACACAACGCGGCCCGACAAAAGAUGACAUUGGCUUGAGCAGCAGCCGGUCCUGGUGACAUGCUCCACACACUGGGAUGGUGCAAGAUCAGGGGUUGGCGGUUGUGGGCUUGUGAUCCGAGGUCUCGCAGGACUGAAUCCCA